UGGGGGAUAUUGCACAAUGGGCGCAAGCCUGAUGCAGCGACGCCGCGUGGGGGAUGAAGGCCUUCGGGUUGUAAACUUCUUUUGCUCUGAACAAGGCGCACUUUGGGGUGUGUUGAGUGUAGGGGUUGAUUAGCGCCGGCUAACUACGUGCCAGCAGCCGCGGUAAUACGUAGGGCGCGAGCGUUGUCCGGAAUUAUUGGGCGUAAAGGGCUUGUAGGUGGCUGGUUGCGUCUGUCGUGAAAGCUCAUGGCUUAACUGUGGGUUUGCGGUGGGUACGGGCUGGCUUGAGUGCAGUAGGGGAGGAUGGAAUUCCUGGUGUAGCGGUGGAAUGCGCAGAUAUCAGGAGGAAUACCGGUGGCGAAGGCGGGUCUCUGGGCUGUUACUGACACUGAGGAGCGAAAGCAUGGGGAGCGAACAGG
rnacentral:rRNA from 1 species